UGCCAGCAGCCGCGGUAAGACGAACUGUGCGAACGUUAUUCGGAAUCACUGGGCUUACAGGGUGCGUAGGCGGCUUGAAAAGUAGGGUGUGAAAUCCCCCGGCCCAACCGGGGAACUGCGCUCUAAACUAUCAGGCUUGAGUAAGCUAGGGGUGCACGGAACUUCCAGUGGAGCGGUGAAAUGUGUUGAUAUUGGAAGGAACACCGGAGGCGGAAGCGGUGCACUGGGGCUUAACUGACGCUGAGGCACGAAAGCCAGGGGAGCGAACGGGAUUAGAUA
rnacentral:rRNA from 1 species